GGUCUCGUGGUGUAGGGGUUAUCACCGUGGACUUUGACUCCACAGACCCAGGUUCGAAUCCUGGCGGGACCUU
rnacentral:tRNA from 1 species